rnacentral:rRNA from 1 species
AUUGAACGCUGGCGGAAUGCUUUACACAUGCAAGUCGAGCGGCAGCGCGGGGCAACCUGGCGGCGAGCGGCGAACGGGUGAGUAAUGCAUCGGAACAUGUCCAUUUGUGGGGGAUAGCCCGGCGAAAGCCGGAUUAAUACCGCAUACGCCCGAGAGGGGAAAGCCGGGGACCGCAAGGCCUGGCGCGAAUGGGUUGGCCGAUGCCCGAUUAGCUAGUUGGUGAGGUAAAGGCNCACCAAGGCGAUGAUCGGUAGCUGGUCUGAGAGGAUGAUCAGCCACACUGGGACUGAGACACGGCCCAGACUCCUACGGGAGGCAGCAGCAAGGAAUUUUCGUCAAUGGGCUAACGCCUGAACGAGCAACGCCGCGUGGAGGAUGACGG